AUGGGAGGUGAUGAAGAUUUGAUGCAUGCUUUGAUCAAGUGUUCACAUGCUCAAACUUUCUGGAUAGAAGCUCGGAAUUGGCUGCAGGUCAAACUACCGGAAUUACAUCCUAUGACUUGGUGCAGGGAUAUUCUCUACGAUUCUCGGUUUUCAGAGAGUGAUCGGGCGAAAAUUGUUACUGUCAUGUGGGCUAUUUGGACCUCUCGCAAUAAUAUAACGCACGACAAAGCAAGUAUGAAUCCGGCGCAAUCUCUCAAACCUAUAAGAGAAGCUCUUGCCCUGCUGGAGCUUCCUUUGGAACAGACGAAGGUUUUACCUGGCUAUGGGUGGAGGCCACCUGAUCAAGACUGGGUAAAGGUAAACACAGAUGCUAGUGUUUCAAUGCUUGAACACAGGAGUGGAGCUGGAGGAGUGGCACGAACUUCCUCGACCUUCAUUGCAGCCUGGAGCAAGCCUUAUCCCCACAUCACGGACCCUAUAAUAGCAGAAGCGUCUGCUUUGCGAGAUGGGGUGAUUUUCGCACAGCUUCGAGGCUUUUCGCAAGUGCUCAUGGAAACAGAUUGCUUAGAACUAGUUCAGCUAUGGCACUCGCGACGGUUUUCGCGCUCCAUCGUAGCGCCGUUACUACUAGAAAUAGAAGAGCUAGCCUUAUCUUUUCUUUCUUUUGAUGUUCAACAUGUAUUGAGAAACUCCAAUAUGUCAGCCCAUAUGUGUGCUAAGCAUGCUUGCACUCUGGGGAUUAUCGACUGCUGGAUGGACUCCCCCUGGCUUCCUCAUGACCAGCGUUUUAGCUGA
rnacentral:rRNA from 1 species